rnacentral:rRNA from 1 species
AUACAUGCAAGUCGAACGCGUCUCCGUUAAUGAUUUUAGGUGCUUGCACUUGAAAGAUUUAACAUUGAGACGAGUGGCGAACUGGUGAGUAACACGUGGGUAACCUGCCCUUGAAGUAGGGGAUAACACUUGGAAACAGGUGCUAAUACCGUAUAACAACCAAAACCACCUGGUUUUGGUUUAAAAGACGGCUUCGGCUGUCACUUUAGGAUGGACCCGCGGCGUAUUAGCUUGUUGGUAAGGUAACGGCCUACCAAGGCGAUGAUACGUAGCCGACCUGAGAGGGUAAUCGGCCACAUUGGGACUGAGACACGGCCCAAACUCCUACGGGAGGCAGCAGUAGGGAAUCUUCCACAAUGGACGAAAGUCUGAUGGAGCAACGCCGCGUGAGUGAUGAAGGGUUUCGGCUCGUAAAACUCUGUUGUUGGAGAAGAACAGGUGUCAGAGUAACUGUUGACAUCUUGACGGUAUCCAACCAGAAAGCCACGGCUAACUACGUGCCAGCAGCCGCGGUAAUACGUAGGUGGCAAGCGUUGUCCGGAUUUAUUGGGCGUAAAGCGAGCGCAGGCGGUUUUUUAGGUCUGAUGUGAAAGCCUUCGGCUUAACCGGAGAAGUGCAUCGGAAACCGGGAGACUUGAGUGCAGAAGAGGACAGUGGAACUCCAUGUGUAGCGGUGAAAUGCGUAGAUAUAUGGAAGAACACCAGUGGCGAAGGCGGCUGUCUGGUCUGUAACUGACGCUGAGGCUCGAAAGCAU